rnacentral:rRNA from 1 species
UACGUAGGGGGCAAGCGUUGUCCGGAUUUAUUGGGCGUAAAGAGCGAGUAGGCGGUUCGGUAGGUCCGUUGUGAAAACUCGAGGCUCAACCUCGAGACGCCGAUGGAAACCCCCGAACUAGAGUCCGGAAGAGGAGAGUGGAAUUCCCGGUGUAGCGGUGAAAUGCGCAGAUAUCGGGAAGAACACCCGUGGCUAAGGCGGCUCUCUAGUACGGUACUGACGCUGAGACGCGAAAGCGUGGGGAGCGAACAGG